UACGUAGGGUGCAAGCGUUAAUCGGAAUUACUGGGCGUAAAGCGUGCGCAGGCGGUGAUGUAAGACAGUUGUGAAAUCCCCGGGCUCAACCUGGGAACUGCAUCUGUGACUGCAUCGCUGGAGUACGGUAGAGGGGGAUGGAAUUCCGCGUGUAGCAGUGAAAUGCGUAGAGAUGUGGAGGAACACCAAUGGCGAAGGCAGCCUUCUGGGCCAACACUGACGCUCAUGCACGAAAGCGUGGGGAGCAAACAGG
rnacentral:rRNA from 1 species